rnacentral:rRNA from 1 species
AUUGAACGCUGGCGGCAGGCCUAACACAUGCAAGUCGAACGGUAACAGGAAACAGCUUGCUGUUUCGCUGACGAGUGGCGGACGGGUGAGUAAUGUCUGGGACACUGCCUGAUGGAGGGGGAUAACUACUGGAAACGGUAGCUAAUCCCGCAUAACGUCGCAAGACAAAAGAGGGGGACCUUCGGGCCUCUUGCCAUGGGAUGUGCCCAGAUGGGAUUAGCUAGUAGGUGGGGUAACGGCUCACCUAGGCGACGAUCCCUAGCUGGUCUGAGAGGAUGACCAGCCACACUGGAACUGAGACACGGUCCAGACUCCUACGGGAGGCAGCAGUGGGGAAUAUUGCACAAUGGGCGCAAGCCUGAUGCAGCCAUGCCGCGUGUAUGAAGAAGGCCUUCGGGUUGUAAAGUACUUUCAGCGGGGAGGAAGGGAGUAAAGUUAAUACCUUUGCUCAUUGACGUUACCCGCAGAAGAAGCACCGGCUAACUCCGUGCCAGCAGCCGCAGUAA